rnacentral:rRNA from 1 species
CACCGCGGUUAUACGAGAAGCCCAAGUUGUCAGCCUUCGGCGUAAAGAGUGGUUAGAAUAGCCCGUUUAAACUGAGGUCGAACACCUUCAAAGCAGUCAUACGCUCUCGAAGGCAUGAAGCACACUUACGAAAGUAACCUCACCCGAUUUGAACCCACGAAAGCUAAGACA